CAAGGAUGAGUCAAUAACAUUUUGGGGUAUGAGUUGAUAUGACAUGAGCUGUUAAAAAGGAGGUACUUUCAAAGAUCUGAGACUAUCACUCUCCCUCUUCUCUUUCUUUCUCACUCCCUUUCCCCACCCCCCUGUCAUGGACAAUACCACAACUCCUUUAAGACCAUCUCAGGCUGUUAAAUCGAACCUUCCAGGGACUUAAUGUGACAGAAGUGGUUGUGUGAGGACUGAAUCUCUCUUUAUUUCUCUCUCGCCCUCUCGCUCUCAGCCAUGUGAAUGUUGUUAUGGUAUAAAGACAUUCUUCAUCAUCACAUUAAACUCGUAAAUGACUGAAUGAUCUGUGAGUCAGACAGAACACAGCUGGGAUGAGUUUAUCACUGGAAUUUCAUCCUCUCGUCUCUCCUCUUUUCAUUCUAUGCUGUUCUCUCUUCUCCUUUUCACUCUAUGCUGUUCUCUCCUCUUUUCACUCUGCUGUUCUCUCCUCUUUUCACUCUGCUGUUCUCUCCUCUCUUCUCCUAUUUUCACUCUGCUGUUCUCUCCUCUUUUCACUCUGCUGUUCUCUCCUCUCUUCUCCUAUUUUCACUCUAUGCUGUUCUCUCCUCUUUUCACUCUGCUGUUCUCUCCUCUCUUCUCCUAUUUUCACUCUAUGCUGUUCUCUCCUCUUUUCACUCUGCUGUUCUCUCCUCUCCUCCUAUUUUCACUCUAUGCUGUUCUCUUCUCUCCUCGCUUCUCCUCUUUUCAUUCUAUGCUGUUCUCUCCUCUUUUCACUCUAUGCUGUUCUCUCCUCUUUUCACUCUGCUGUUCUCUCCUCUUUUCACUCUGCUGUUCUCUCCUCUCUUCUCCUCUUUUCACUCUAUGCUGUUCUCUCCUCUUUUCACUCUGCUGUUCUCUCCUCUCUUCUCCUAUUUUCACUCUAUGCUGUUCUCUCCUCUUUUCACUCUGCUGUUCUCUCCUCUCUUCUCCUCUGUUCACUCUAUGCUGUUCUCUUCUCUCAUCUUCUCCUCUUUUCACUCUACUGUCCUCUUCUCCUCUAUGCUGUUCUUUCUUUUCACUAUGCUGUUCUCUUCUCGUUUCAUUCUAUGCUGUUCUCUUCUCUCCUCCUCUUUUCCUUUUAUCCUGUUAUCUUCUCCUCUUUUCACUAUACGCUGUUCUCUCCUCUCAAUCGACUCCCCUCCCCCUCUCCUUUUCUCUGUUCUUCUCCUUACCCCCUCUUCUCCUCUUUUCCACUCAUCUCUUCUCUCCUCCUCUCUUUCUCCUCUCUUCUUCUCUUUUAUCCUCACAGGAAUGCAUCAGAGUACCUCUGAUGAGACAUCUAUCUUUCAUUAUAAUUAUUUGACAGUCAUUCUGGCAUUACAGAGCACUAUCAGCUAUCAGGUUUCGAAGGCUACGAGCAUGUAGAGUGUAGUUCAGGUGAAGGCCGCUAGAGGUCACUGUGGUGGU
rnacentral:lncRNA from 1 species